ACGCUCGACACCUACGGGAGGUAGCAGUGGGGAAUAUUGCACAAUGGGGGAAACCCGUGAUGCAGCGACGCCGCGUGGAGGAAGAAGGUCUUCGGAUUGUAAACUCCUGUUGUUGGGGAAAAAGAGGAUGGUACCCAACAAGGAAGUGACGGCUAACUACGUGCCAGAGCCGCGGUAAUCUGAGGCGGGCGUGGCGAAGGC
rnacentral:rRNA from 1 species